rnacentral:misc_RNA from 1 species
GAUGAAGAACGUAGCGAAAUGCGAUACGUAAUGUGAAUUGCAGAAUUCAGUGAAUCAUCGAAUCUUUGAACGCAUAUUGCGCUCUUUGGUAUUCCGAAGAGCAUGCUUGUUUGAGUAUCAGUAAACACCUCAACCUCUUCUUGAUUUUACAAAAGGAGGGUGGACUUGAGCUAUCCCAACAACCUUUACCGGUCGGCGGGCGGCUUGAAAUGCAGGUGCAGCUGGACUUUUAUCUGAGCUAAAAGCAUAUCUAUUUAGUCCUCGUCAAACAGGAUUAUUACUUUUGCUGCAGCUAACAUAAAGGAUAAUUGUCCUCUUUGCUGACUGAUGCAGGAUUUUACGACACUUUAUGUGUUGUUCAACUCGAUCUCAAAUCAAGUAAGACUACCCGCUGAACUUAAGCAUAUCAAUAAGCGGAGGA